rnacentral:rRNA from 1 species
GACGAACGCUGGCGGCGUGCUUAACACAUGCAAGUCGAACGGAAAGGCCCUGCUUGCAGGGUACUCGAGUGGCGAACGGGUGAGUAACACGCGGGUGGUCUGCCCUCCACUUCGGCAUAGGCCUGUGAGAGUGGGCCUAGUACCUGCUAGGAGCCAUUUUUAGUGUGAUGGUUCGAUAGUUAUUUCGGUGUUUGAUGAGCUCGCGGCCUAUCUGCUUGUUGGUGAGGUAAUGGCCUACGAAGGCGGCGACGGGUAGCCGGCCUGAGAGGGUGGACGGCCACCUUGGGCCUGAGAUACGGCCCAGAAUCCUAUCGGAGGCAGCGGGGGGGAAUAUUGCAGAAUGGGGGCAAGUCUGAUGCAGCGACCCCGCGUGGGGGAUGACGUGUUUCGGGUUGUAAACUACUUUCGCUGGAGACGAAGCCUUUGUGACGGUACCUAGACAAGAAGCACCGGCUAACUACGUG